UGAAACUGAAAAGGUAUAGACUUCUGUGCUCUUGUAUUAACACGUUAUAUGAUUUAUAAUCAUAUUGUGGUUUAGUUUUUUUUAGCCCCAAAAAGUAAUUGAGAUGUUUUCUUCUGAAUCUUACAGGAUUACAGGAAGUAAAAACUGAAGGCCCGGCACGAUGGCUCAAGCCUGUAAUCCCAGCACUUUGGGAGGCCGAGGCAGGUGGAUCACGAGGGAAAACAUUUACGGCGAAGACAUCCAAGUUCUCAAAAGAAUGUAUCAGCCAGCUGCUUCUCCACUGAAGACUAACCUUGACAAGCCCAAUACCCCUCCAGCAUUCUAGUGGGUUUGGAGGACGGCAUCAGUUGUGAAGAAUUGUGGCCAAAAUGCGGUGGGAUGGGGGGUGGGGAAGCAGUUUGAAGAAAACAAGGUCUAAAGAAGGUAAAAAGUAACAACAAACAAAAACCCUCGCACAAUUAUACAGGGAAAAUAAAGUGUCUUCAAGAAAGGAAUGGCAAGCCUACUAUACUGCAUAGCUCAGCUAUAAACAUCAUCUACACAUAUACUCAUUUAAACAGCAAAUAUUAAUAUAAAUAAACUCUAUUAUGUCUAUACCAGCAGGUGGGGAGUUAUAUGUGUUAGGAGCAAGAGAAAAUCAUCUUCCAUACAAAGUCGUUUUUAUAUGAUCCCUAACUUUUUAAAAAUUAUAACUUUUAAUGAAGCAGCUGGGAGGUAGAUGCCUAAUUAAAGAUGUGAACACAUCUGUCUUUGAGGAGCAGGAGGGAGCUAGGAUUGAGGGGCUGCAAGGUUUAGUCAAUAAGACUUAUUGGACUAUUUGAUUUCUUACGUUCUAUAGCACUUAUAAUACAUGAGAUACUUUUAAAAGUAAAUUUUAAAAAUAAACUAAGCACAAACUUUUUGCAGCCAAAAGAAGGGUGAGAAGAACCAAGCUUCUUAUAAAAAAUAUAUUGUAUCUACUCCCUUGCACAGGUUGGGAUGUAUCUUUUGGAUGACAAUGUGACAGGGAUGUGGCUUGUGUUUGGUUUUAAACAUUGUAUCUUUGAACACACUGUCAUUUAAGUAUCCACAGAAACUCUAUGUUAGCUUGGGGAGUAAUGCAAAUGUCUUUGUAGUUUCCUUGUUUCAAUCAGGUUAGAGAUCCUUGGAGUAUUACCAGUCAGCUUCCACAAACCAUAGUGGGGUGACAUCUGUUUGAAGGGCUGGAUCUGUCAUCCCUGUAAAUCAGAUACUGUUGACAUUGCCUAAGUCAGAGGUCUUCCAACCUUUUUGGCACUAGGGACCAGUUUCAUGGAAGACAGUUCUUCCACAGGAUAGGGCAGGGAUGGUUUCAGGAUGAAACUGUUCCUCCUCAGAUCACCAGACGUUAUAUUCUUGUAAGGAGUCUGCAAACCUAGAUCCCUUAUGUGCACAGUUCACAAUAGGAUUCAUCCUCCUCUGAGAAUCUAAUGCAGCUGGUGAUCUGACAGGAGAUAGAGCUCAGGUGGUGAUACUUGCCCUCCAGCUGGUCACCUCCUGGACCCAGUUCCUAAGAACAGGUCACAGACUGGUAGCAGUUUGCAGCCCAGGGGUUGGGGACCCCUGGCCUAAGUCAUCUGAAAAUUAUGUCUAUGCAAUUUCUCCAGUAUGUUUUAUCUGAAAUAAUGAGCAAGGACGAAGCUGACCCCAUUCAAUAAAGUAGGGACAAGGGAAAGAAGAUAAUAUUUCUCAAAUACCAGACCCCAUGCUAAGGGCUCUACAUACUUUACGUCAUUUAAUCCUCACAGCAACACUACUAGGUAGAUCUUGUUAUCUUUGCAUUUAAGAUGGGGAAACGGAGAAGUUAAUUACAAAGUCAUACAGUAAGAAAAUAGGUCGGCUGAGAUCAGAACGCCAACAUAGCUGAUUCAUUGUGUAAUGUUUGUUGAUUUCAUUUAUUACCUAUAAGGUCAGGCUCUAUGAAGAACUAAAUGUAAUGAACAAUGAUAAGGAUAGAGUGAUGCUUGGAGUCUUAAAAGUAAAUUUCAUUGUACAUUGAAUCCUCUUAUUUCUUGUGGAGAAACGCUUCCGUAAGAGUGAGUAGGAAAAUGCUACAUACAGAUAAUUGCUUUACACCCUGGACAUCAGAAACACGUCUAAUCGUAUGGAGAGAUCUACCACCAGAAAACAUGCCAACAGAUUCUGAAAUGAAUCAUCAAACCCCAUAGAGAUCAGGGAUUUGUGUGACAAGUAAGAAGGCUUUGCUAACAGUCAUUCCUUGCUGACAUGUUAAUCUAGUUUGACAGAGUCAGUGCCUUGUAGAUUGAGAGGAAACAAUAAAGAAUAUUUCCUGAUGUUGGCAAAGGCUCUUCAAUUCAGUCAGUUUACACACUUCUGGGAAAACAAACGUUUGAUGUUGCAUUGGUGAAUAAAAGCAAAAUAACAAUCUAUACAUGCCAUUUGA
ensembl:lncRNA